rnacentral:lncRNA from 1 species
AUCAAAGCCGAUUUACGUUUGAACCUGUUUUCGCCAAAACAGUUAGAGCUAUAAAUCGGUUGUUUGUCGACUUCAUCUUAGUUCGAGUCUUGCUUUGCUCAUGGCACGAAGAUCGAGGAAUUAUGUCAAAGAGUUAAUUCCGCAUGAAGACCUAAUUCCGCAUGAAGAUGACAAAUGUAAUUCCGUACGGAAUUACUUAAUUCCGUGUGAGUAAUGAUUUCGCAUGUAAGUAAUUCCGUAUGAAGCAUGUUUCAUGCGGAAUUACCAUAGAUUUUCCGAUGGCGAAGCUCUGUCGAAGUGUCGUCUUGCUGUAA